GUAGGUGGCAAGCGUUGUCCGGAAUUAUUGGGCGUAAAGCGCGCGCAGGUGGUUCUUUAAGUCUGAUGUGAAAGCCCCCGGGCUCAACCGGGGAGGGUCAUUGGAAACUGGGGAACUUGAGUGCAGGAGAGGAAAGUGGAAUUCCACGUGUAGCGGUGAAAUGCGUAGAUAUGUGGAGGAACACCAGUGGCGAAGGCGACUUUCUGGUCUGUAACUGACACUGAGGCGCGAAAGCGUGGGGAGCAAACAGGAUUAGAUACCCUGGUAGUCCACGCCGUAAACGAUGAGUGCUAAGUGUUGGGGGGUUUCCGCCCCUCAGUGCUGCAGCUAACGCAUUAAGCACUCCGCCUGGGGAGUACGGUCGCAAAGACUG
rnacentral:rRNA from 1 species